AAUUCGUUGCACUAUUGCAUGGUGAAUACAUAGCCAUGCAAGGCGAACCGGGGGAACUGAAACAUCUAAGUACCCCGAGGAAAAGAAAUCAACCGAGAUUCCCCCAGUAGCGGCGAGCGAACGGGGAGGAGCCCAGAACCUGAAUCAGCGUAUGUGUUAGUGGAAGCGUCUGGAAAGUCGCACGGUACAGGGUGAUAGUCCCGUACACAAAAAUGCAUAUGUUGUGAGUUCGAUGAGUAGGGCGGGACACGUGACAUCCUGUCUGAAUAUGGGGGGACCAUCCUCCAAGGCUAAAUACUCCUGACUGACCGAUAGUGAACCAGUACCGUGAGGGAAAGGCGAAAAGAACCCCGGCGAGGGGAGUGAAAUAGAACCUGAAACCGUGUACGUACAAGCAGUGGGAGCACCUUCGUGGUGUGACUGCGUACCUUUUGUAUAAUGGGUCAGCGACUUAUAUUUUGUAGCAAGGUUAACCGAAUAGGGGAGCCGUAGGGAAACCGAGUCUUAACUGGGCGAAUAGUUGCAAGGUAUAGACCCGAAACCCGGUGAUCUAGCCAUGGGCAGGUUGAAGGUUGGGUAACACUAACUGGAGGACCGAACCGACUAAUGUUGAAAAAUUAGCGGAUGACUUGUGGCUGGGGGUGAAAGGCCAAUCAAACCGGGAGAUAGCUGGUUCUCCCCGAAAGCUAUUUAGGUAGCGCCUCGUGAACUCAUCUUCGGGGGUAGAGCACUGUUUCGGCUAGGGGGUCAUCCCGACUUACCAAACCGAUGCAAACUCCGAAUACCGAAGAAUGUUAUCACGGGAGACACACGGCGGGUGCUAACGUCCGUCGUGAAGAGGGAAACAACCCAGACCGCCAGCUAAGGUCCCAAAGUCAUGGUUAAGUGGGAAACGAUGUGGGAAGGCAUAGACAGCCAGGAUGUUGGCUUAGAAGCAGCCAUCAUUUAAAGAAAGCGUAAUAGCUCACUGGUCGAGUCGGCCUGCGCGGAAGAUGUAACGGGGCUAAACCAUGCACCGAAGCUGCGGCAGCGACGCUUAGGCGUUGUUGGGUAGGGGAGCGUUCUGUAAGCCGUUGAAGGUGACCUGUGAGGGUUGCUGGAGGUAUCAGAAGUGCGAAUGCUGACAUAAGUAACGAUAAUGCGGGUGAAAAACCCGCACGCCGGAAGACCAAGGGUUCCUGUCCAACGUUAAUCGGGGCAGGGUGAGUCGACCCCUAAGGCGAGGCUGAAAAGCGUAGUCGAUGGGAAACAGGUUAAUAUUCCUGUACUUGGUGUUACUGCGAAGGGGGGACGGAGAAGGCUAGGCUAGCCGGGCGACGGUUGUCCCGGUUUAAGCAUGUAGGCGGAGUGACUUGGUAAAUCCGGUUGCUUAUCAACGCUGAGGUGUGAUGACGAGUCACUACGGUGGUGAAGUAGUUGAUGCCAAGCUUCCAGGAAAAGCCUCUAAGCAUCAGGUAACAUUAAAUCGUACCCCAAACCGACACAGGUGGUCAGGUAGAGAAUACUCAGGCGCUUGAGAGAACUCGGGUGAAGGAACUAGGCAAAAUGGUGCCGUAACUUCGGGAGAAGGCACGCUGGCAUUAGGUAAAGAGACUUGCUCUCGGCGCCGAAGCCAGUCGCAGAUACCAGCUGGCUGCAACUGUUUAAUAAAAACACAGCACUGUGCAAACACGAAAGUGGACGUAUACGGUGUGACGCCUGCCCGGUGCUGGAAGGUUAAUUGAUGGGGUCAGCCGCAAGGCGAAGCUCUUGAUCGAAGCCCCAGUAAACGGCGGCCGUAACUAUAACGGUCCUAAGGUAGCGAAAUUCCUUGUCGGGUAAGUUCCGACCUGCACGAAUGGCGUAAUGAUGGCCAGGCUGUCUCCACCCGAGACUCAGUGAAAUUGAACUCGCUGUGAAGAUGCAGUGUACCCGCGGCAAGACGGAAAGACCCCGUGAACCUUUACUAUAGCUUGACACUGAACAUUGAGCCUUGAUGUGUAGGAUAGGUGGGAGGCAUUGAAGUGUGGACGCCAGUCUGCAUGGAGCCAACCUUGAAAUACCACCCUUUAAUGU
rnacentral:rRNA from 1 species